rnacentral:tRNA from 1 species
GCGCCCUUAGCUCAGCUGGAUAGAGCGUCUGACUACGAAUCAGAAGGUCAGGAGUUCGAAUCUCUUAGGGCGCGCCA